rnacentral:rRNA from 1 species
UACGUAGGGUGCGAGCGUUAAUCGGAAUUACUGGGCGUAAAGCGCACGUAGGCGGCUUUUUAAGUCAGGGGUGAAAUCCUGGAGCUCAACUCCAGAACUGCCUUUGAUACUGAGAAGCUUGAGUCCGGGAGAGGUGAGUGGAACUGCGAGUGUAGAGGUGAAAUUCGUAGAUAUUCGCAAGAACACCAGUGGCGAAGGCGGCUCACUGGCCCGGUACUGACGCUGAGGUGCGAAAGCGUGGGGAGCAAACAGG